rnacentral:rRNA from 1 species
GACGAACGCUGGCGGCGUGCUCAACACAUGUAAGUCGAACGGAAAGGCCCUGCUUUUGUGGGGUGCUCGAGUGGCGAACGGGUGAGUAACACGUGAGUAACCUGCCCUUGACUUUGGGAUAACUUCAGGAAACUGGGGCUAAUACCGGAUAGGAGCUCCUGCUGCAUGGUGGGGGUUGGAAAGUUUCGGCGGUUGGGGAUGGACUCGCGGCUUAUCAGCUUGUUGGUGGGGUAGUGGCUUACCAAGGCUUUGACGGGUAGCCGGCCUGAGAGGGUGACCGGCCACAUUGGGACUGAGAUACGGCCCAGACUCCUACGGGAGGCAGCAGUGGGGAAUAUUGCACAAUGGGCGGAAGCCUGAUGCAGCAACGCCGCGUGCGGGAUGACGGCCUUCGGGUUGUAAACCGCUUUCGCCUGUGACGAAGCGUGAGUGACGGUAAUGGGUAAAGAAGCAGCGGCUAACUACGU